UACAGGGGGUGCAAACGUUGCUCGGAAUCAUUGGGCGUAAAGCGCACGUAGGCGGUUCGUUAUGUCGGAUGUGAAAGCCCUUGGCUUAACCGAGGAAGUGCAUCCGAAACUGGCGAGCUAGAGUACGAAAGAGGAUCGCGGAAUUCCCGGUGUAGAGGUGAAAUUCGUAGAUAUCGGGAGGAACACCGGUGGCGAAGGCGGCGAUCCGGGUCGAUACUGACGCUGAGGUGCGAAAGCGUGGGGAGCAAACAGG
rnacentral:rRNA from 1 species